rnacentral:snRNA from 1 species
GUACUUUUAAAGUACAUAUACUAAAAUUGGAACAAUAUAGAGAAGAUUACCAUAGCCCCUGCGCAAGGAUGACACGCAAAAUCGUGAAGCGUUCCACAUUUUU